rnacentral:rRNA from 1 species
UACGGCUGCCAUAGCGAAGGGGAAACGCCCGGUCCCAUUCCGAACCCGGAAGCUAAGCCCUUCAGCGCCGAUGGUACUGCACCGGUGACGGUGUGGGAGAGUAGGACACAGCCGGAC